rnacentral:rRNA from 1 species
UACGAAGGGGGCUAGCGUUGUUCGGAAUUACUGGGCGUAAAGCGCACGUAGGCGGAUUCUUAAGUCAGGUGUGAAAUCCCGGGGCUCAACCUCGGAACUGCAUUUGAAACUGCGAAUCUAGAGACCAGGAGAGGUUAGCGGAAUACCGAGUGUAGAGGUGAAAUUCGUAGAUAUUCGGUGGAACACCAGUGGCGAAGGCGGCUAACUGGACUGGUACUGACGCUGAGGUGCGAAAGUGUGGGGAGCAAACAGG